ACUGAGACACGGCCCAGACUCCUACGGGAGGCAGCAGUGGGGAAUAUUGCACAAUGGGCGAAAGCCUGAUGCAGCGACGCCGCGUGAGGGAUGACGGCCUUCGGGUUGUAAACCUCUUUCAGCAGGGAAGAAGCGAAAGUGACGGUACCUGCAGAAGAAGCGCCGGCUAACUACGUGCCAGCAGCCGCGGUAAUACGUAGGGCGCAAGCGUUGUCCGGAAUUAUUGGGCGUAAAGAGCUCGUAGGCGGUCUGUCACGUCGGAUGUGAAAGCCCGGGGCUUAACCCCGGGUCUGCAUUCGAUACGGGCAGACUAGAGUGUGGUAGGGGAGAUCGGAAUUCCUGGUGUAGCGGUGAAAUGCGCAGAUAUCAGGAGGAACACCGGUGGCGAAGGCGGAUCUCUGGGCCAUUACUGACGCUGAGGAGCGAAAGCGUGGGGAGCGAACAGGAUUAGAUACCCUGGUAGUCCACGCCGUAAACGGUGGGAACUAGGUGUUGGCGACAUUCCACGUCGUCGGUGCCGCAGCUAACGCAUUAAGUUCCCCGCCUGGGGAGUACGGCCGCAAGGCUAAAACUCAAAGGAAUUGACGGGGGCCCGCACAAGCAGCGGAGCAUGUGGCUUAAUUCGACGCAACGCGAAGAACCUUACCAAGGCUUGACAUCGCCCGGAAAGCAUCAGAGAUGGUGCCCCCCUUGUGGUCGGGUGACAGGUGGUGCAUGGCUGUCGUCAGCUCGUGUCGUGAGAUGUUGGGUUAAGUCCCGCAACGAGCGCAACCCUUGUUCUGUGUUGCCAGCAUGCCCUUCGGGGUGAUGGGGACUCACAGGAGACUGCCGGGGUCAACUCGGAGGAAGGUGGGGACGACGUCAAGUCAUCAUGCCCCUUAUGUCUUGGGCUGCACACGUGCUACAAUGGCAGGUACAAUGAGCUGCGAUGUCGCAAGGCGGAGCGAAUCUCAAAAAGCCUGUCUCAGUUCGGAUUGGGGUCUGCAACUCGACCCCAUGAAGUCGGAGUUGCUAGUAAUCGCAGAUCAGCAUUGCUGCGGUGAAUACGUUCCCGGGCCUUGUACACACCGCCCGUCACGUCACGAA
rnacentral:rRNA from 1 species